CAUGUCAUAUAAUAUUAUUGUGGUGGUGGCAUAGCCCCCCCCCGCACAGACACAUCGCGCCCAAGGUAACGUACAUACACUAACUCUGAGCCAAUUAGAAGACGGUCCGAGUAAAGUUUUCACGUAAGUACGUGUGUUCAGUGUAUACGAUGAUAUUAUAAUACCUCAGUGUCGGUUAUUAGAACUGCCAACUGCAUAUCACAUAUUAUUAUAAUAUCUGAAGCAGUCUCCGACACGACUUCCGAUCGAGGACAACGUGCCGCGUGCAACAUAAUAAUAUUACCUGUAUCAAAGUUUGAUUUUGAUAGCUACAUCAUACUCCAGCCUAAGAGAUCAGUACCGUUUUUCGACCAAAAUCGUCAGAUUCCGCACCUUCCCCACUCCCAACUCAUCGGCUCACCGACAGCUGGUCGCUGCCAGUCAUUGAGCAUGUAAAUGAUCAAUGUCAUUCUGUGAAGGUAUGUGAUACAUGAAAAUCGAUUAAGAGAACGUUACACAGGGCAUUUGUUGUCUCUGUCUUACAAGUGCGUAACAUAGCAAAUUGUACACUCAGCAGAACACGCAUACCACCUACCUCCUUAGGUUUAAAAAUUAGAAUGAAUUGACCUCUUAUAAAAUUAAAAGGUAAGAAUAUUAUCUAAGCAAUACCAUCGGCUUUUUAUUAUAUUUUAAUUUUAAUGCGAGUCAGGACUAUUUUAAGAUGUACAAAGAAUUUACAAUUAUAAAAUACUUAGUUAAUAUACUGUUUAUUAUUGUUA